UAUAACGAAUUAUCGUUAAUAGCGAACUAAAUCUGACAUCCCGGCCGAUUCCUCCUUUAUUUUAUAUUAAAUCAUAUCGCUUAAUACGUACUCGCUUAUAGCGAAUUUUCGGCUAUAACGAACCAUUUUUUCAAGCCCCAAAUGACGGAAAACAUUUAAAUUUCCUCGGUUAUAACAAACUGUUAUAAUUGAAAUAUCGGGAUGCGCUCGAUUAGGAUCAGUACAUGAAUAACACUAUCCGAUAAUUAAACGAUCGAAUGAUUGCCGAGUUAGUUAUGGCUUCAGGGAAUAAAGAUUUUGAAAAAUGUUCUCCCAACAUAAUUUCCUACUUGUUACGGAAAAUUUGUAUUUCACACCCUCAGUUAAUUGUUGUAAAUACCCGAUAAUUGCCAAGUAAUCAUUUUUUUGUGUUUGCAAUAUUAACCAAACGAUAAUAAACAAAUAGCAAAAGAAAACAAAUGGUAAGAACUUCAUAGACAAUUAAUACAUGAAUAAAUAUAUGUACCAUGUACAUAAUAUAUUGCUCAAUAAAAUGCCCCGCAUUAAAUAACCGCUGCAGUAAAAUACCGGUUACACCGGUAACCAGUGAAGAGUAUGGCUUUUUCAAGGCAAAUUUCCCCAUCCAAACAAGUCAGCAAGUUGUUGCUACUUCGCUUUUAGCGAACUUCGGAUAUAGCGAACGAUAUUUUAAUGUCCCAUUGAGUUCGUUAUAACCGGAGUCGACUGUAUAAACAUUUUUGCUCAUACAGCCUUUAUUUUUUAGUUAAUGUCUUAGUUUAAUACAAACAUGCCAAGGGAGGUCCUCCUUCUUUGGGUGUAGUAAGGGGUCAUUUGGGUCAAGGUCAAUGUUACCAAUGUUAAGGUCACCAAUGUUAAAAAUAGACUUUUACAUUUUUACAGGUGUAUUGACCUUAUUCAAGACAGAUGUUAUUUAUAAUUGAUAGAAACAUAAACUUUGAUGGAGUUAGUGGUCAGUUAGGUCAAGGUCACCAGUGCUAAAAAUAGAUUUUUACACAUUUGCUCAUACAGCCUUUAUUAAGUGACAGAUAUAUUUUAUAUUUGGUAGGAAGAUAACUUGCAUGGUAUUCAUCCUUUUGAUUGGGGUAGGGAUCAGUGGGUCAAGGUCACUUGUGCUAAAAAUAGAUUUUUACACUUUUGCCCAUACAGCUUUUAUUUAUUGACAAAUGUAUUUCAUAUUUUGUAGGAAGAUAACUUGCAGGUAUUCAUCUUUUGGAUGGAGUAAGGGGUCAGUUGGGUCAAGGUCACCAGUGCUAAAAAUAGAUUUUUUAACUUUUGCCCAUACAGCCUUUAUUUAUUGACAGAUGUAUUUCAUAUUUGGUAGGAAGAUAACUUACAAGUAUUCUUCUUUUGGAUAGUUAGGGGUCGGUUUGGUCAAGGUCACCAGUGCUAAAAAUAGAUUUUACACUUUAGCCCAUACAGCCUUUAUUUAAUGACAGAAUGAUGUAUUUCAUAUUUGGUAGGAAGAUAACUUGCAUGAAGUUGAAUAUUUUUCAACUUCACAAGUCAGAGCAAUGACUUGGCAACUUAUAUUUUUCACAAUUACAAAAUGCCAUGACUUUGUCAAGCUAUAUAUUUUGUGUUAACAAUUUUUGGGCAAUUUUUCUGUCCAUAACUGAGUGAAUGGGUAAACAUUUUUUGAAAUAUUGCUACUGAAAAGAAUCUGAGCCAGGGGCAUUUGUGUUUAACAAACACGUUCUUGUUUAUAAUUUGUUGUUUAAUUAUUAAAGUUUUUGUGUGUUUUGGGAUAUUUUGUUACCCUAUCAAUAGCUAAAACAUACAUUAUUAUUUAAUUUUUGUCAAUAUUAUUAGAAAUACUGGUUAAAUCUUGUUAGAUUUGUAUGCUUAUUGUGCAUAGUUUAAUAUUUUACUGAACACAAAACUACCAAAAUUUGUUGAGAUGUAUACAGCAUGUUUUAUUGUUGAAUAAUGUAAUACCAUAUUGUUAAAAGAAUUGAAAAAACAAACUAAUGGGUGGAUUGGACGGCUGUAGGGAGGUGGAGGCCGUUUAAGUUCAGUAGUUUUGGUCAGUGUAAAACCUAAUUUGGUCAGUGAAAAGUCAGGGAAUUUUAUUUAUCUAUGGUGCUGGCAACCCUGGUACUACUGGUUGACUCCAGGAACAUUGAGCAAGAAAUGUUACAUGCACUCAGUACUGGUUGACUCCAGGAACAUUGAGUGAGAAUGGUUACACACAUUGGUCAGAGGAACCUUGAGAUAGAAUUAUUACACACAUUGCUCAGUACUGGUUUGCUCCAGGAACCUUGAGAUAGAAUCAUUACACACAUUGCAAAGUACUGGUUUGCUCCAGGAACUUUGAGUAAAAAUGUUACACACAUUGCAAAGUACUGGUUUACUCCAGGAAGCUUCAGAUAGAAAUGUUACAGGCAUUGCUGAGUAAUGGUUGACUUUAGUGGAACUUUAGUAAAUUAAUUUUAGUGUUUCUACAUAAAAUCUUUUGUUUAAAGUAAUGUCUGCGUCUGCCCCCUUGCUAAAGUAAAAGUAUUGACUGAAUGGCUUUAAGUUAUCACUGAAUAUAUUGUUGUGGAAAGUACUUAUUAUAGCUAGACUGCAAACUCUCUAACCAUGCCAUCAAUCCAUCUGGCUAUGAUAUGUAUGAAGCCAUGUAUAUAAUUUGAUAUCUUGCCAGGUAAGGCAAUGCUUAUUCAUUUUUAGUCAAAAUCCUGGCUUGUUAUAGUAAGGUCCACUUUUAUUUGAAAACUUCAGUAGAAACAAUCUUUUGAUUUUUGUUCAGUACUGAUUUGUUCCAGAAACAUUGAGCAUAAAUAGCUACACAUUUUGUUAAGUACUGGUUUACUCCAGGAACUUUGAGUAAAAAAUGUUACAAGCAUUGCUCAGAACUGGUCUGCUCCAGGAACUUUGAGUCAGAAACGUUACAUGCAUUGAUCAGUAUUGGCUGGCUCCUGGAACAUUGAGUUAGAAAUGUGGUAUACAUUGUUCAGUACUGGUUUGCUCCAGUAAGAUUGAGUUUGAAAACUUACACACAUUGCUCAGGACUUGUUUUCUCCAGGAACUUUGAGUAAGAAACGUUACACACAUUGGUCAGUACUGGUUAGCUCAAGAAACAUUGAGUAAGAAAUAAAGCACACAUUGGUCAGUAUUGGUUGGCUCCAGGAACAUUGAGUAAGAAAUAAAGCACACAUUGGUCAGUCCUGGUUAGCUCCAGAAACAUUGAGUAAGAAAUAAAGCACAAAUUGGUCAGUCCUGGUUGGCUCCAGGAACAUUUUGUUAAAAAUGUUACACACAUUGGUCAGUACUGGUUGGCUUUAGGAACAUUGAGUAAGAAAUAAAGCACACAUUGGUACGUACUGGUUGGCUCCAGGAACAUUGAGUAAAAAAUAUUACACACAUUGCUCUGUACUGGUCUGCUCCAGGAACUUUGAGUAAGAAACGUUACAUGCAUUGCUCAGUACUGGUUGGCUCCAGGAACAUUGAGUUAGAAAUGUGGCACACAUUGGUCAGUAUUUGUUGGCUCCAGUAUGUAAUUUCUAUGCCUUGUUUUGAUAUUUUCUGAUGUUUAUAUUGUAAAUAAUUUUAGUUUUUCUACAUAAAAUCUUUUGUUUAAAGUAAUGUCUGCGUCUGCCCCCUUGCUUAUGUAAAAGUGUUGACUGAAUGGCUUCAAGUUAGCACUGAAUAUAUUGUCGUGGAAAGUACUUAUUAUAGCUAGACCCAUCUGGCUAUGAUAUGUAUGAAGCCAUGUAUAUAAUUUGAUAUCUUGCCAGGUAAAGCAAUGCUUAAUCAUUUUCAGUCAAAAUUAUGGCUUGUUGAAGUGACGUCCACUUUUAUUUGAGAAUUUUUCAGUAGAAACAAUGUUUUGAUUUUUGUUCAGUACUGGUUUGCUCCAGGAACCUUGAGCAUGAAUAGCUAUACAUAUUGCUCAGUACUGGUUUACUCCAGGAAAAUUGAGCAAGAAAUGUACGCAAUGCUCAGUACUGGUCGAGUCCAGGAACAUUUAGUAAGAAAUAAAGCAUGCAUUGCUCAGUACUGGUUGGCUCCAGGAGCCUUGAGUUAGAAUCAUUACACACAUUGCUCAGUACUGGUAUGUUCCAGGAACCUUGAGCAAGAAACUUAACACGCAUUUUGCUCAGUCCUGGUUUUUUUCCAGGAAGUUUAAGCAAGAAACAUGCUUUGAAUUUUUCCUGAGUAGGUAUAGUCAUUAAGUAAAGUGUCUAAAUGGUAUUUUUUGAGGAAAUGGAAAAGCAACAGGUAUUAUUUAUUUUCUUUGUUUUGUCAUUUUUGUAUACAGUAAUUUAAAAUGUCUAUUUUUUUGUUUGUUAAAUUAAAUUCAUUUACUUAUUAGAUGUAUCCCACAACUGUUGAUCAAGGCUCACUGACGACCCCAUUGAAGGAAUCCGGUGCUGAUAUGUCCGCAAAAUGGGAAUUCGUUUUGGAAGAAUUUCUCUUGAGAUGCUGCGCCGGCAGUAUUGAUAGAUUAUGGUUUUUUCAGUCAUGAAAAUUGGAAAUGGGAUUCUUUUUUUUUUCAUGAGGUCAACCGAGUGUCUGCCAUCCAGAAGUUUUUUCCAGAUUUAUUUCCCUUUGUCUCUGUGGUAGAAUAGCUGUGAGCUAGGCAAAACUUGCAGCUAGCAGGAUCCUUUUCUCUAGGUAUCAUGCCCUGAUAUAUCCCUGGUCUGUUGAUCAAGACUUAUAACAAUGAAAUCUGAGGAGUCUGGCAACUUUAUAUCCGCAAGGAGGAAUUGUGUGGGAGUGAUUGUCUUCAAUCCUGAGUCAGCAGCAUUGUAGUAUGACAGUUGUUCCUGAGUUAAGAGAGAUGGAAAUCAGUGGGUCAUAGUAUGGAAGUGGCCUGAGAAGAACAACCUGCAUUGCCCGAUACUGGAAUAUAGCUUUUGUUUGAGCAGAUAUUUGUUCAGAAAUAUAAUAUAACAUGUCAAUAUCUUUACCUAGAUUUGUUUUUUUUUGGUGCUUUUAAAUUUUCAUUUCAGAAUUCAUACAACACUGGCAUACACAGUAUGAAUACAGUUCAAUCAUUAAACAGCACUCGGAAGCAGCUAAAACCGGCUUGAGAGAGUCAGUAUAAAACCUUUUGGGAACAGUGAAAACCUUGAGAGAAAUACCAGCCUGCCUGGGAGGGUGACAUCUACAAACAAGGCCACCUGCUAAAGGAAUGGAACAUUCAUAAAUCUUCAUUUUUUGAUUCAGAGAUGGUUGUGUAGUUUGGUAUCAGAAUUAUCAGACGUAUUGGUUGUAGGACAUUGACGACAGAAACUUGAAUUUUACUAUGGAGUGCUACCAAAUGAUCAGCAGCCGGAUAAACGGAGCAAAAAACAAUCAAAUUAUGAUUUUAUUUCAAAAGAUUUUAUUUGGAUGCCUUUUGUUGUAAGAUGUACAAAUCAUGGAUGUUGAAUUGACCCAGGGACAAACCAGAUCUAAUCGUAACAGGAAGUACUACAUGGAUAAUAAAGGAAUUUAAUGUCAGCAAAGAUGCUUAGAAAAAUUUUGAAGUGUCAUGUAACCAAUCAUGAGUUUGCAGCCAUGAGUGGACUGAAGUCAUAAUCAUUAUUGGCCCACUGAAGAUGCUGUUAAGGUAGUUUUGGCAAUACCUGGAAUAAUGCUUCAGAAGAUUGCUGGAGGUCUCUUCUUGUUACCAAGAAAAAGGAAUGGAGAGAAACAUGGAAACAUUAGUGAAGACACUACAAAAUGGAGUAAAGACGGAAUGUCCAGUCACUAGAAGCUGUCAUACAAAAUUACCAACAAAACAAAAAGAAAUUGAUCUUGUAUAUAAGAAAUUGAUAGAUUAACUUU